rnacentral:pre_miRNA from 1 species
UUGUAGGGGCUAAAGUGCUCCUUUUAGUCCAAUAAGGAGGGCUGAGAAGCGGCUAGAGCUGCCAUCUCAUGCAUUUAGGCAAUGCUUAACAUUUGGCAAAGAGGUUUAAGCUUGGCCAGGUGCAUGGUGUGGGAGCAACUCCUUCCGCAUGCUUUGUUCGCCCAUUGGACUGAAGGGAGCUCCUGGUUUUACCAC